UACAGAGGGGGCAAGCGUUGUUCGGAAUUACUGGGCGUAAAGGGCGCGUAGGCGGCCUUCUAAGUCGAACGUGAAAUCCCCGGGCUCAACCCGGGAACUGCGUCCGAGACUGAAAGGCUUGAAUCCGGGAGAGGGAUGUGGAAUUCCAGGUGUAGCGGUGAAAUGCGUAGAUAUCUGGAGGAACAUCGGUGGCGAAGGCGGCAUCCUGGACCGGUAUUGACGCUGAGGCGCGAAAGCGUGGGGAGCAAACAGG
rnacentral:rRNA from 1 species